rnacentral:rRNA from 1 species
UUCGCAAUGCCCGAAAGGGUGACGAAGCGACGCCGCGUGCAGGAUGAAGGCCUUCGGGUUGUAAACCACUGUCGGGAGUUAAGAAAUGCAAGGAUAUGAAUAGUGUCUUUGCUUGACUAAGGCUCCGGAGGAAGCCACGGCUGACUCUGUGCCAGCAGCCGCGGUAAUACAGAGGCGGCAAGCGUUGUUCGGAAUUAUUGGGCGUAAAGAGCACGUAGGCGGCUAUGUAAGUCGGUUGUGAAAGCCUUCCGCUCAACGGAAGAACAGCAUCCGAUACUACAUGGCUUGAGUGCGGGAGGGGAGAGUGGAACUUCUGGUGGAGCGGUGAAAUGCGUAGAUAUCAGAAGGAACGCCGGCGGCGAAAGCGGCUCUCUGGCCCAUAACUGACGCUGAGUGUGCGAAAGCUAGGGGAGCAAACGGGAUUAGAUACCCCGGUAGUCCUAGCCGUAAACGAUGGGCACUAAGUAGAGGGGUUUU